GGGGUUGUGGCUCAGUGGUAGAGCACUUGCCUUGCAUGUGUGAGGCACUGGGUUUGAUCCUCAGCACCA
rnacentral:tRNA from 1 species